CCUAUUACUUUUCUUGGAGUCAUCAGAGAAUUGAGAUUGCAGGGCAAACUUCCCCCAAGAAUCAGGAGAGACAGACAAAUACAGAGAAUUACAGCCACGAUCAGCUUCCCCGCAACAGAAGCCCCUGGAGCCUUAAGCUGAGAGUGUGGAGAGAGCAGCAGGGUCCUCAAGGCCAGUUCAAAAUGACCAAGCAAGCACCUGCCCUCGCUGACCUCUGAAGAUAAAAUGCAUUUUCAGUCAUGCUCAUCACUGACAGCAUUUUGGGAACAGGAAUUGGAAAAUACUGAAUAAGGUGGUGAGUGGCAAAAGUGAAAUUAGACGGUGAUAAGAGAAGAACCACAAGACAGAGAGAAGUACGACCAUGAGGGGGCAGGCUGCAUCCGGUCUAUGAGGUUAUGAAGAAGCACAAACACAGGACCCAGUUCAAAGGUUAACACAUACUAAAGAGCAAUGCUGUUUGAGGAGCAGAGGAACUCUGGAAAACUCUGCUGUCUGAAAUGAAAGCAAGGCACUCUCCACUAACAGCUGGUGGAUUCCUGACUUCCGCCCACAGGAGGCCUGUUCACGCUGAGAGAGCUCUCCCCAAGGGAGGAAUCACCUGCUUUAAUUCUUGCUGUCCUCUUCUGAGCUAGUUCGGUCAUCCACUCUGUAUAAACUCGUGUGUCCACAUGAAGACAAAAAAAGAGAGUUGAAUCGAUAGAUGGCGUGGGAGCCUCCCAAGGCUCUCAUAGUUGCAAUGACCAUGGAAGACAGAAGAACGCUGGCUAUAAUCUUUGUUUUCAGCACUAAGUGUCUGGGCCUAUCUUCUUCAUUGCUUCCAGCCAAUCGAUAUUACGGUGAAAAGGUCUUUUUCCUUAAAUCUGAUGGGUGUAAAAAUAAAAAGGAACAGCAUU